AGAAUCAACGCUGGCGGCGUGCCUAACACAUGCAAGUCGAACGAGAAAGUGGAGCAAUCCAUGAGUAAAGUGGCGCACGGGUGAGUAACACGUGACUAACCUACCUUUUAGUGGGGGAUAACCUAGGGAAACCUGGGCUAAUACCGCAUAAUACCUACGGGUCAAAGCAGCAAUGCGCUGGAAGAGGGGGUCGCGGCCGAUUAGCUAGUUGGCGGGGUAAUGGCCCACCAAGGCAGUGAUCGGUAUCCGGCCUGAGAGGGCGCACGGACACACUGGAACUGAAACACGGUCCAGACUCCUACGGGAGGCAGCAGUGGGGAAUUUGCGCAAUGGGGGAAACCCUGACGCAGCAACGCCGCGUGGAGGAUGAAGACCCUUGGGUCGUAAACUCCUUUCGAUCGGGACGAUAAUGACGGUACCGGAAGAAGAAGCCCCGGCUAACUUCGUGCCAGCAGCCGC
rnacentral:rRNA from 1 species